CACGCCACUGCCUUUUCAACCAAGCGCGAUGAACAAUUGUGCGAAUCAACGGUUCCUCUCGUACUAGGUUGAAUUACUAUUGCGAUACUGUCAUCAGUAGGGUAAAACUAACCUAUC